GGAGCUAUGGUGCAGUGGUAGCAUGUGAGAUUCCAGUUUUGGGUAUCCUCAAGGUCAGCCGUUCGAUCCGGUUUAGCUUCA
rnacentral:tRNA from 1 species